rnacentral:rRNA from 1 species
UACGGAGGGGGCAAGCGUUGUUCGGAAUUACUGGGCGUAAAGGGCUCGUAGGCGGCCUACUAAGUCAUACGUGAAAUCCCUCGGCUUAACCGGGGAACUGCGUCUGAUACUGGAUGGCUUGAGGUUGGGAGAGGGAUGCGGAAUUCCAGGUGUAGCGGUGAAAUGCGCAGAUAUCAGGAAGAACACCCGUGGCUAAGGCGGCUCUCUAGUACGGUACUGACGCUGAGACGCGAAAGCGUGGGGAGCGAACAGG